GUCACGCUUCAAAAUUUAUUUUAUAUCCACUGUCUCAACAUCCACCAACAUAGCAAAAUCGCUUACGGCCCUUAAACACACAGGAAAACAUAAACCAACAAAAUAGAAUCAUCGGAACACCCAUAGCAGAAGCUGAUACAGAGAAUGAGGAAGAGAAACCAAAAGCAUCAAAGGCAAGAAGAAACUUUUACCAGCUUCCUACCACUCUCUCGAGCAAAGUCCCCCACCAACUGUACGCCAGCUACAAACGUCUUUUGGUACACACAGAAGGCUUAACACCCAUAUAUUCAAGAAAUUUCAAUCUCUCAUAACUUUGGGCCGGUCAAAAACGUACUAGUUGACAGACUUAUCAGCGUUUCAUACCCUUUCCUCAAGCCAAAAGACACCAUGCCUUACUCACAGCUUUUCAUACAUAAAUACUUGACAAUGGAUCUCCUGAGCCUUAAGUCCAUGAUUUCUCUCUCUCUCUCUUUUAAGAUGUGCGGCAAAUACCUGAUAAUGACCUGCACUUAUGUAUCGCAUGAUUAAUAAUUUUACAAAUGCCUUAAUGAUCAAUAAUAUUAAAUUGAACAAAUUUGUCCCAAUCACCAAAAAGCAGAACCACUAUAAUUAUUGUAUAGAAAAAAUGAAAUAAGGGCAGUAAAUGUUUACAUGUUCUUCAAUAUUGGAGUUUCUGUACAACUUGGAUGACGAUUAAUAUAAAGUAAACAAAAAAAUUUUUUUUUUCUUCUUGUUUUUAUCCAUAAUAAAAGAGAAGCUAAUUAAUAAAUGAAUAAAAAAUAAAAAUUUUGUAUUAAGUGUGCAAAUGAAAAAAUCCUACAAAGCAGAUGAUAUAUUGCAAUGCAGAGCCUCCUUAAUAAACUCUGAUUUUCCAUCAACCACAGAUCACAGGUGCCCUUCAGCUUAUUAAUAGGAUCCUUCACAAUUGUGCUUGAAAUUGAUACGUACAACACAGAGCUUCCUUCAUAAACUCUGAUUUAAUACCCGGGAAAAAAGAUAAACAGAGAACCCGGUUUAUAUUUGGAUUUUUGUUCUACUUUCUAGAUUUUUCAAUUUUCGCUAUAAAAUUAUUGGAUACGCAUAUUAAUACAUGCAAUAAAGUACUUAGCCUAGCUGAGAUUCUGAUUAGCCGUUCGGAUGAUCAGUCACCGGAGGCCGUACGCGCCGGUUCGUAAACCAAGCUUUCUAGCUGGGGCCUUAAUUUGUCUUUCCAAAUUUCUUGGCCUGGUCUCGCGUUCAUCUCCUUUCCUUUCACCUCCACCACAACCAAUUGCUCCGUUAAUUGGUAAAUUUCGAUGGCCAUGACAAAAGUCCCAUCAAAUCCUUCCAAUUUCGCUCCCCAAUCUCUGUUCUUCGUCACUUUCAUGUUUUCUGCCCCGGCAAUUUCUUCCACUCUGUCUAUUAUCUUCGCAGGCGACUUGGAAGACACAAACCGUUCGUUGCUAGCCGAAAUAUCGCAGUCAUUGAACAAACAGGACAAAUCAAAACCUGACGAGAAGGAGAUUAUGUGAAAAGCGUUCAAGCUUUUGUGGUUUCCUUGCCUCUUCAAAUCAGAAUCCUCCAAGUGGAACUUUAUACCUUUGUAAUCCUUUUUGAACCAUGGGUCCUGAAGAAUCUCAUCGACGGUUAUCCGAGUCCCAGGAUUUGUAUCUAGAAGCCGAGACAGGAACCGCCGUAGAUCCGGAGACGUCCAUUUCGGAAAUUUAAACUGACCUCUGUAAAUCUUCCGAUACAUAGCCAUGAGGUUAGUAUCAUUGAAAGGUAAAUAACCGGCGAUGAGAACGUAUAAAAUGACGCCGCAUGACCAAACAUCUACCUUAGCACCAUCAUAGCCUUUCUUACCGAGAAUCUCUGGUGCAACGUAAGCUGGAGUCCCGCACAGAGUAUGGAGAAGACCGUCCGAUUGGAUCUGAUCCUUGACGGCGCUGAGACCGAAAUCGGUAACUUUGAGGUCCCAAUUCUCGUCGAGGAGGAGAUUCUCGGGUUUCAAAUCGCGGUGAAACACACCUCUGGCAUGACAAUAUCCUACGGCUGUGAUAAGCUGCUGAAAAUACCGACGGCUGAGAUCUUCGCUGAAGCGUCCCUUUGCAACCUUGGCGAAAAGCUCACCACCUUUGGCGAACUCCAUCACGAAGUAAAUCUUGGUUUUAGUGGCCAAAACCUCCAACAGCUUCACGACGUGAGGGUGGUGCAAUCGGCGCAUGAUAGAAAUCUCCCUCUUAACCUGCCCUAUAAAGCCUCCCUUGACGACUUUCUGCUUGCUGACGGCCUUAAUGGCCACGCUUUGGCCGGUACUGACAUUUCUUGCAUGGUAAACCUUGGCGAAGGCUCCACUACCCAGCAACUUACCCAACUCGUAUUUGUCAAAUAAAUUAGUAUCCGGCGUAAUUUCUGCGAUUGCCGGUGAAGGGUUGCUGGGAUCCUCCGCCAUAUCUGAGUUGUCAGGCGGAACAAAUUUCAGUCUGCAUUAAUGUUAGCAGAAAAAGAACCAGCAGGAACCCCAAAAUGGGAAAUUUCAGAAAUGGCAGGUUAAGAUUAAACCGUCCAAAUUUCGAAUUUGAUAGUUUUGUUAUAUAAAUAUUAUACAGUGUGGAAUUUGUCUUACAGAGAAAGUGUAUAUUUGUGAAACAAUGGAGAGAGAUUUCAUGAGCUGGAAGAAAUUAAACUAAAAAGGAGGUGUUCCUUCCAAAUGGCAUACAAAACCUGAUCCAGCUUGUGCUGUGUUUUAAAAUAGUCUGUUUCUCGUAUAGGGGAUUAUAAGAGAAGGAGGAGAAUGAGGGCGUGGCAUUUUUGUUAUUUUUAGACUUAACAGGUACGUUAACUUCUAUUUUGUUUGAUGUGUCGUCUAAUUCAAAAUUUUACUUUUAUACAGAGUGACGCAACGCAAGGGAGCGGGGAACUGCUCACCACCCACGUGUUUAUGUGUCUUUGGCGGGAUUGAUACAUUUGUUGAACGGCAUAGGUUUUCACUUUGAAUGACCGGACCCAAUGCGGUUCGCGUAUGGAACCGGGUAAAAUUGUUCUUCUAUCCUAUCCUAUGGCAACUCUCUUCCGCAUCUCAUCAUUUUUUGUUUCAAUAAUUGACUUUUUUUUUCAUUAAAAAAAAAAAACGUUUUUCAAAAUUUUUUUUAAGAUGUACAUGAAAAAAAGUUCUUGGACUUCAAAUUCUUGUUAUUCUUAAAAAAAAAAACACACACACAAAGAGAAUACUUA
rnacentral:misc_RNA from 1 species